ACCUCUGUGGCGCAAUCGGCUAGCGCGUUCGGCUGUUAACCGAAAGGUUGGUGGUCUGAGCCCACCUGGGGGCA
rnacentral:tRNA from 1 species